CAGCAGCCACGGUAAUACGGAGGGAGCUAGCGUUAUUCGGAAUUACUGGGCGUAAAGCGCACGUAGGCGGCUUUGUAAGUUAGAGGUGAAAGCCUGGAGCUCAACUCCAGAAUUGCCUUUAAGACUGCAUCGCUUGAAUCCAGGAGAGGUGAGUGGAAUUCCGAGUGUAGAGGUGAAAUUCGUAGAUAUUCGGAAGAACACCAGUGGCGAAGGCGGCUCACUGGACUGGUAUUGACGCUGAGGUGCGAAAGCGUGGGGAGCAAACAGGAUUAGAUACCCCAGUAGUCCCUGUCUCUUAUAA
rnacentral:rRNA from 1 species